GCACAAGCGGCGGAGCAUGCGGAUUAAUUCGAUGCAACGCGAAGAACCUUACCAAGGCUUGACAUACACCGGUAACGCCCAGAGAUGGGUGCCCCUUUGUGGUCGGUGGACAGGUGGUGCAUGGUUGUCGUCAGCUCGUGUCGUGAGAUGUUGGGUUAAGUCCCGCAACGAGCGCAACCCUCGUCCUAUGUUGCCAGCGGGUCAUGCCGGGGACUCAUGGGAGACUGCCGGGGUCAAACUCGGAGGAAGGUGGGGAUGACGUCAAAUCAUCAUGCCCCUUAUGUCUUGGGCUUCACGCAUGCUACAAUGGCCGGUACAAAGGGCUGCGAUACCGCGAGGUGGAGCGAAUCCCAGAAAGCCGGUCUCAGUUCGGAUUGGGGUCUGCAACUCGACCCCAUGAAGUCGGAGUCGCUAGUAAUCGCAGAUCAGCAACGCUGCGGUGAAUACGUUCCCGGGCCUU
rnacentral:rRNA from 1 species